rnacentral:rRNA from 1 species
GACGAACGCUGGCGGCGUGCUUAACACAUGCAAGUCGAGCGGUAAGGCCCUUUCGGGGGUACACGAGCGGCGAACGGGUGAGUAACACGUGGGUGACCUGCCCUCAGCUCUGGGAUAAGCCUGGGAAACUGGGUCUAAUACUGGAUAUGACUCCACGGUGCAUGUCGUGGGGUGGAAAGCCUUGUGCGGCUGAGGAUGGGCCCGCGGCCUAUCAGCUUGUUGGUGGGGUGANGGCCUACCAAGGCGACGACGGGUAGCCGGCCUGAGAGGCGACCGGCCACACUGGGACUGAGACACGGCCCAGACUCCUACGGGAGGCAGCAGUGGGGAAUCUUGCGCAAUGGGACGAAAGCCUGACGCAGCGACGCCGCGUGA